rnacentral:rRNA from 1 species
UAGGGAAUCUUCCACAAUGGACGCAAGUCUGAUGGAGCAACGCCGCGUGAGUGAAGAAGGUUUUCGGACCGUAAAGCUCUGUUGUUGGUGAAGAAGGAUAGAGGUAGUAACUGGCCUUUAUUUGACGGUAAUCAACCAGAAAGUCACGGCUAACUACGUGCCAGCAGCCGCGGUAAUACGUAGGUGGCAAGCGUUGUCCGGAUUUAUUGGGCGUAAAGCGAGCGCAGGCGGAAGAAUAAGUCUGAUGUGAAAGCCCUCGGCUUAACCGAGGAAUUGCAUCGGAAACUGUUUUCUUGAGUGCAGAAGAGGAGAGUAGAACUCCAUGUGUAGCGGUGGAAUGCGUAGAUAUAUGGAAGAAUACCAGUGGCGAAGGCGGCUCUCUGGUCUGCAACUGACGCUGAGGCUCGAAAGCAUGGGUAGCGAACAGGAUUAGAUACCCCUGGUAGUCCAU